UACGUAGGGUGCAAGCGUUGUCCGGAAUUCUUGGGCGUAAAGAGCUCGUAGGCGGUCUGUCGCGUCUGGUGUGAAAACUCGGGGCUUAACCCCGGGCCUGCAUCGGGUACGGGCAGACUAGAGUGUGGUAGGGGAGACUGGAAUUCCUGGUGUAGCGGUGAAAUGCGCAGAUAUCAGGAGGAACACCGGUGGCGAAGGCGGGUCUCUGGGCCAUAACUGACGCUGAGGAGCGAAAGCAUGGGGAGCGAACAGG
rnacentral:rRNA from 1 species